rnacentral:lncRNA from 1 species
GGCAGUUUCCCUGAAAGGGAAAAGCGAAACUAGAAGUAGACAUUUCUCAUGAUGAAAGAAGGAAGAUUCCAGGCAAGGAAACCCCCAGGAAACACCCAUCCCACCACCAUAAAAAAGCCAGGGGGGAGUUCAGUGAAAGGAGAAGAGGUGUGCCCGGUUCCAGCAAGAGAAGAGCCACAGCAACUUAUUGCCUUUGGCAGAAGUUCUGUCCACAAGCAGUGAGACUCAGCAGCAACCCAGAUCAUCAGCCGCUGCUCCCAGUAAAUUAACUCUGUAAGUACCAUUUUCCUUCCUUCUGUCCCUCCUGUUGGCUUGAGAGAGACAAGCAUAAGCUUCGGAGGCCAGACUUCUCAGAGCAGGGAAGGGACUGCUUGGAUGAGUGCAAGGAUGCUGGCCAGCUAGUAAUAAUAAUAAUAAUUUAUUAUUUAUACCCCGCCCAUCUGGCUGAGUUUCCCUGGGCGGCUAGGGAUGGAAGCAUCGAACAAUUUCAGCUCUCUCAGCUUCUUGUUCUUCCAGUCUUAAAUUUGAUUCUUUCCAUUUCUGCAGCAAUCUGCAAUCCCCCUAAAAUGUGCCACCUGAGGCAGCUGCCUCACUCUGCCUAAUGGAAGGACCACUGCUGCUUUUGUCUGCGGUCUGCUUGCUUGCUUUAGUGGUUGUGUCGUUCUUGCUGUUACAAUAUAUUAGGUUUUCAUUGUCAUUGUACACACAUACAUACUCUGGGAUCUGCUUGGAUGUUUCCGACCUUUUUUAAAAUAAUAAUAAAAAAUUAGUUCCCCAGAUCUUACAGAAAAGAGUCUGAAGAAGCCACAGGCAGGCUUUAUUAAGAAUUCUCCUAAUUUUCCCUUACUCAUGCCUCAGCUGAUGACAGCCAGUUCAUUGCUUGUCCCUGAGCUUGCCUUGCUCAGUAGGCAGGAGAAUACAGAGUAGAGAGAAUUCAAACAAGGGAGGUUGGGAUCGAACGGAGUUAUCCUGGAAACGGGCACAAGUGGCUGGCUGGCACUAUAGAGCACACCGCACAGCGUUUUGUUGCAGUUUUCACUUGUGGGACUAGAGAUUUUUCUGGAAGUUGAUCUUCAAGCAAUUAAGCAGUGGAUCCAGACUUAGUUGGACUUAGAGCAGACCCAUCAGAUCAAUGGGACAAUCUCAUUGUUUGCAAUGGAUCUGCACAUCAUACAGAGAAAACACAUUCCCCCCCUUAAGAAUCCUGGGAGCUGUGGUUUAUCCCUCACAGAUCUACAAUUCCCAGGAUUCUUGGGGGGGGGUUGCUUUACAUAUAUGGGGCGUGCUCAGCCCAAAUGUGAACCCAACCCUUACACUAUGCUCUGAUUCAUCAGCUGUGCAUGUUUGGGCUACAACAAAGAGGCAAAGUUUCCAGAUGCUUGGAAUGUGUUUCCAGAUGUGGAACAACAAAGAGGCAAAGUUUCCAGAUAUGGCUUGGAACAUAGAACCAAGUAAAGGGGAGGUGACCUUGGGCAUAGUCCUGUUUGGUGCUGCCCCCUAUAACUGACCAGGAACACUGACCACAGUGCUAUCAAAUCCAUUAACUUGGGGUCCUUUCCAACUCUAAGUUUCUAUGAACUAUGUAAACAGUUGCAGGCAAAGUCCAGCUCUUGAUUUCAAAAGAGGAAAUUAUUUUAAAAACAAGGGGGUUCUGGUAAAAAAGAGAGAGGAGGAAGCUGAAAAAAGAGCAUUUCCAGAAACAGCUUGAAAGCAAAGUGGACAGUGAGUUUCAUAAUGCUUUUAUGAACACCCUUUAGCAGUGCAGAAAUAACAGUGGCCAGGCUAUCCAUUUGUGCAUUGAACUUGGAUGUCUGCAAAAGGGGUGCCUAUGCCUGAGAAGGUACACCUGCACAUGCCCUCUACACAGUUUUAUAUCUGUACUUUCUAGGGUCCUGAUACCACGGAGCACCUGAAACCUUUGUCGAUGUGCAGGACUGUUCUAAAAAGGAAUAAAACAUGACAGCGUUGAUUCAUAGAGGGUCGACGUGGACCUUAAAAAAGGAAAUAGCUAGUGCCAUCAAUACAGGCCCUUAGUAGCCAGAAUAGCAGUGAAAUAGGCCAUUUUAGGAAAGCUGAGCAGCUAUUCUGCUUUAAAAAGCCAUAUUUUCUGAACAUAGGACACAGAAGAUGAACUGGGAAAACCAGAGAUGGGGAUGUGUUGUUCAUGACAUUGUUGAGAUAACUUUGUAAAAGGUAAACAAACAUAGUACAGUGGUACCUCGCAAGACGAAUGCCUCGCAAGACGAAAAACUCGCUAGACGAAAGGGUUUUUCGUUUUUUGAGCUGCUUCGCAAGACGAUUUUCCCUAUGGGCUUGCUUCGCAAGAUGGAAACGUCUUGCAAGUUUGUUUCCUUUUUCUUAAAACCGUUAAUACAGUUGCGACUUGACUUCGAGGAGCAACUCAUAGCACGCGGUGUGGUAGCCUUUUUUGAGGUUUUUGAAGACUUUGGUGAUUUUUGAAGCUUUUCCAAAACUUUUCCGACACCGUGCUUCGCAAGACGAAAAAAACCGCAAGACGAAAAAACUUGCGGAACGAAUUAAUUUCGUCUUGCGAGGCACCACUGUAUAGCUAGUCCACAGUAAAAGCCCAGUGCCCUCGUUUGCACAUCACAAAAAGCUACUGUUUGUUAUAAACCAUGGCUUAAUCAUAAACGUGUCCCCCGUGUCCUGCCCCCCUGCUAUGCAGUUCCUGCACAGCUCCUCUCCCACAUAUGCCAUCCAUCUGGCUUUGGUUGUUACUACGUUAGGUGUUUUAGUGUUUUUACAUUGAAACCUCCUGGCAGGAUUGAGAUUUGGAGAUAUGCUUCAAGGUCCAGACUAUGGGAAGUCCCGAAAAAUUAAUAAUGAUAAUUUGGAUGGUAAUUUGGUCUUUUUUAUUUUAGUUUUUUAUUUUAAUUGGAUUAUGAUUUGAUAUGUUAAUUGGAUGCUUCUUAUUGG